GAUGAACGCUGGCGGCGUGCCUAAUACAUGCAAGUCGAGCGAACAGACGAGGAGCUUGCUCCUCUGACGUUAGCGGCGGGCGGGUGAGUAACACGUGGAUAACCUACCUAUAAGACUGGGAUAACUUAGGGAAACCGGAGCUAAUACCGGAUAAUAUAUUGAACCGCAUGGUUCAAUAGUGAAAGACGGUUUUGCUGUCACUUAUAGAUGGAUCCGCGCCGCAUUAGCUAGUUGGUAAGGUAACGGCUUACCAAGGCAACGAUGCGUAGCCGACCUGAGAGGGUGAUCGGCCACACUGGAACUGAGACACGGUCCAGACUCCUACGGGAGGCAGCAGUAGGGAAUCUUCCGCAAUGGGCGAAAGCCUGACGGAGCAACGCCGCGUGAGUGAUGAAGGUCUUCGGAUCGUAAAACUCUGUUAUUAGGGAAGAACAAAUGUGUAAGUAACUUUGCACGUCUUGACGGUACCUAAUCAGAAAGCCACGGCUAACUACGUG
rnacentral:rRNA from 1 species